AAAUUACAAAGAAAUUCCAGCAACCACAAGGAGAGGUCCACAAAGUGAGAGAUUGAACCCUCGAGCUAACAAGCAUGUGAGUGAGACAUGUUGGAAGUGGAUUCUCCAGCUCCAGUCAAGCCUUCAGAUGAAUGCAGCUCCAGCCAACAUCUCACUGCAGCUUUAUGAGAGCCUCUGAGCUGGAGCCACUAGGCCAAGCUGUUCCCAAAUUCCUGACUCUCAGAAACUGUUGUGCAUAGGAAGAAUCUGGGGACCUUGUGGAAAGUGCAGCUCCCAGACACCUGCCUCAACUGACUCUGUGGAUGUGGAGCGGGCCCUGCCACUCCCCAUUUUUAACCUACUGGGGAGAGAACGGGAGGCAAAACUACAAACCUGAAAAUAAAGUGGCUAAGUGGCUUCUCAAACUCUUUCCAAGUCUCUAAACACCGCUGAGUCUGGAUUGUCACUGUGCUCUACAGAGGAAACGAAGACCAAGAAUUAAGCAGCUCGAUUUUCCAGUGCAGACUGUUUGACCUUUGUGACUAGUAAACCACUCCUUUUAUUAAGGCCAAAUCUGCAAAAUCUGUCUUAAAGAAAAUGGUCAGUCUUUCCUUUCUUCUAAACAUCUCUGAUUUUUUCAUCUUGUUUCCUGACUAUUCACAGACAGCAACAAUAACAGAUUCUGGAAAGAAGGAUUUGUAAUGAGGAAAUCAAGGCAGUGAGAUAAAGCAACUUGCCUGAGGUCACCCAGUUGGCAAGCUGGGGCACAGAUUUUCAGAGGUUUCUGGGAUUCCAAACCCUGUGCUCUCGGGCAUUUGUCUGAGAAAACUCUCAGGGAAGGUGUGGGCUUGUCGCCCCUGGAGGCCUUCCAGCUCCGACGUUUUGAAGCCUGGCUCCCAGAUUAAAC